rnacentral:rRNA from 1 species
AUCUAUGGCUAUACCACCCUGAGCCCGAUCUCGUCUGAUCUUGGAAGGUAGCAGGGUUGGGCCUGGUUAGUACUUGGAUGGGAGACCGCCUGGGAAUACAGGGAGCUGUAGGCA